GCUUACCCUCGAGUCUAGCCCACUUCCUCAACCACUGUGCACAGCCACUGUCCACAAUUCUCCUGGACAAUCUUAUUUACUUCCUUGGCUUUACCCCGUGCAGCUGUUCCAUCUUGCACCUUCUGAUGCCGGGCUUCACAGUGACUUAUCCAAUUAAUCAACAGUCGACAGAUUCUCCUAGAAGAGAAAGAAGAGGCUGAACGACCCUUGGUCCAAAAGUUUGAAAGAAGGCUAUGAGGAGAAUUUCCCUUCAAAGUGGAGUCAAUAACAGCAGGUGAAGAAACUGAGGCACAAGGAAGUUUGCCCAAAGUCACAUAAAGAGGGGGAAGAGCUGAGAACACACACACUUAACCAUUCAGGUCUCUUUCCUCUCUGAUAGGAAUUAUAUUAUUAAUUGCCUUGGAUAGAUGGACAAUCACAUUUCAUCAUUUCUUUAUAGCCUGACCCAGAUUUUUCCUACUCUCGAUAAAAUAUAGUGUAUGUUUUUAAAUACCCAAUCACACUGCCUAGGACAUAGUCGGUGUUCAAUAAAAAUUCGCUUACCUGAUUUUUUGUCAUUAAAAUAAUUGUGUUUAAAAGAGACAGGCAAACAAACAAGCAUAAACCAAGAAGUAGAGAAUAAUGAGGCUGUAUAACUGAGAGAAAUGAUCUGACUCAGACCUCCUAAUAUGUGCUGUCUUACGAGAGAAUAAUCCAAAGAUAAAACCCAAUAUGAGCCCACACAAUUCUUAUCUGCAUGAAAUAACCACCCCCCCAAAAAAAUUGUCUCCGUUGCAGAAACUUGAUUAUUGACUUUGGCAAUCCUUUCUCCGCAUCUUUGUGCCAAUAAAGUUAUUAGAAUUGAAUUGAGAGAGGCAGACGCACAAGAAGAGCUGAGACAAGAUGCUGAGCAGUUGAAAUCAACGACCCGAGGAGCUGAUCCCCUGCCGAAGGCUACACCAGCUCCCGGGAAGAAUCCACCACUCUGGCCAGUGGUCUGGCACUGCGGAAGCUG